GCCAGACAGUGAGGCGCCUGGGGAAGACCUUGGGACACGGCACAACCAAUUCUGGAAGGACUCAGCUGGGGCCCAUUGGAAUGAGUACAGAACAGUUCCUGAGGCCAACUGGGCGGUUGCUGUCAGGUGAUCAAAAAACUGAUACGACUUUGUCAAAAGUUCCAAUGGCUGGGUGUGUUGGCACACACUUUUAAUUCCAGCAUUCUGAAGGCAGCGGCAGGUGGAUUUCCUGGCUUACAAGAACCUCAAAUUCAAUCAGUGUCCUGCUGUUCAAAGGUAUUUUGAAAUGUGCCAAAUCUUAAUUGAUGUGGAAGUGCCUGGAACCAGAGUUAAUACCUGGAGCGACGGGGAGCCCAAAUUAUGGAGGAACCCAGGAACCUGUGGCCGCUGGUGGCUACAGGUGGUGCCCGACGAGUGGCCUGAAAGCGGAAAGAAGGACUCGGGGUACACUGUUUUGGUGAGGCUCCACAGAAAACAGAAGAUGUAUUCUGCAUGGUCAGUUACUUCCAUACAGACUCACCUUCAGCAAAGCUCAGGUGGCUGUUAUUCUUCGAUAUGAAGAGACGCAUUGAGUGCAUAUUGUGGCUUUGGUCUGAAUAAGAAAAAGGAACCCAGUAACCUGUGGUUGCUGGCAGCUACAAUGUAGAACUCUCAGCUAGUUUUGCAUCGAGCCUGCCUAGAUGCUACCCUGCUGCCACCAUGAAGAUGAUGGACUGAACCCUUGAACUUGUGAGCUAGCCCCAAUUAAAUGUUGUCCUUUAUAAGACUUGCCUUGGUCAUGGUAUCUGUUCACAGUUGUAAAACCCUAACUAAGACAUCAAUGAAGAUGAA
rnacentral:lncRNA from 1 species